UUUCACCUUUUCUUCCCUUCUUUUUCUCUUUCCUCAGAUAAACCAAAGAUGAAACAUGCGAAUCCUGGAAAAGAGAAAGAACUGAAAUAUUCAGCUGCUAUCAAGGAUAAAGAACAUUCUAAAGAAAAGGAAGGAAAGAAUCCUACAGCUUUAAAAGAUAAAGAAUCACUGAAAGGAAAAAAUCCCAAGAAUCCAGAAGAGUCAAAGGAAAAAGAGACUGCUAAAAGAAAAGAUGUGAUGCCUCCAACAGUCUUAAAGGAAAAGGACUCUUCAAAAGGAAAGGAAAUGAAAGUUCCAGCUAUGACAAAGGAGAAAGCUGCGGUGAGGAAACAAGAGGAAAAGAAAGGCACUUCAGAGAAACCUCAUGACCACAAGCAUGAACAUAUUAAACAUGAAAAAUCAAUCUCUCACACUAAGCCAGAGGAGAAAAUUAAACAACAAAAGAGAGGCCUCACCGAGAGUUCAGAGCAUGAAGCAGUCAGGCAUGAAAAAGAUGUUCUACCUACAAAGCCCGUCAAACUGAAAACAACUUCAAAGUCAACGGUUGAAAUCCCAGUAACAGCCCCGAAGAAAAGAAAGACGUCUAAGGAAAAAGAAGGUAGGAAAUUACUCUGUGUAUUCAUAUAUGUGUAGAUGGAAGAUCACAAGGAUGAUCAGAGGACUCAAGCACCUCUCCUCUGAAGACAGGUGGAAGGAGCUGGGCUUGUUCAGCUUUCCUUGGGAGAUCCUUUUUCAGUCUUUCAAUACUUAAAGUGAGGAGAGGGACAGACUUUUUACAUGGUCUGGUAAUGAUAGGACAAGGGGGAAUGAUUUUAACCAAAAGAGGUGAGAAAUAGUUUAGAUAUUAGGCAGAAAUUCUUCACUUAGAGACUGGUGAGACACUGAAACAAGUUUCCCAGAGAAGCUGUGGGUGCCUCAUACCUGUAAGUCUUCAGGCUUGACUUAGUCAUUUGCAACCCUGACUAUAGCAGGGGGCAUAGAACUAGCUGUUGUUCUCUUCCAACCCAAGCCUUCCUACGAUUCUAACUUUAAAAUACUUCAGAUCAUAAUCUUGCAUGUAUUUGUAUAUGGAAAAAAAAAACAAAAAAAACAAAAAACAAAAAAAAAAAAACAAAAAAAACAAAAAAAACCCAACUCCUAAAAUAUCUAUAUUAAUUUUCAAAGAAUUGUAUUUGAAAAGUCUAGGUAAUAAUCUAAUAAGAAUUAGAAUUAAAAAUAUCUCCAACCUUGAACUCUGUUACCUGUCCCUUUCCUUUUUCUGCCUAGAAAAAACAACUGAGAAGAAACCUCUGAAAGAUGAAAAACACAAAGGUAAUAAAGGGAUGAAAAUCUCUGCA
rnacentral:lncRNA from 1 species